rnacentral:rRNA from 1 species
AUUGAACGCUGGCGGCAUGCCUUACACAUGCAAGUCGAACGGUAACAGGUUAAGCUGACGAGUGGCGAACGGGUGAGUAAUGUAUCGGAACGUGCCCAGUCGUGGGGGAUAACUGCUCGAAAGAGCAGCUAAUACCGCAUACGCCCUGAGGGUGAAAGCGGGGGAUCGCAAGACCUCGCGCGAUUGGAGCGGCCGAUAUCAGAUUAGGUAGUUGGUGAGGUAAAGGCUCACCAAGCCGACGAUCUGUAGCUGGUCUGAGAGGACGACCAGCCACACUGGGACUGAGACACGGCCCAGACUCCUACGGGAGGCAGCAGUGGGGAAUUUUGGACAAUGGGCGCAAGCCUGAUCCAGCCAUGCCGCGUGCGGGAAGAAGGCCUUCGGGUUGUAAACCGCUUUUGUCAGGGAAGAAAAGGUUCUGGCUAAUACCUGGGACUCAGGACGGUACCGGAAGAAUAAGCACCGGCUAACUACGU